CCCAUAUGUUGAUGAAGGCAACAUAAAAAUAUUUCCUGUUCAAACAGGAGGAAAAAAAAAGAUAAAAGUUAUCUUUUAUUCACUGUUCCAUGCAAACCAGAGAUGCUGAUCCUACUCCUCUCACCUUGACAGCACCCACUAUGUUUAACAGCACAACCUGGAAUGUGGAAAGUCGAAGGAAAGCCUGUGAAAACGCAAUGCCGCCUAAUCAGGGGCCCUUUGGCUGCAGCGUAAUAAACUGAUUUGGCACCCUGUGCUGCGUGGGGUAAACCUGGAGGGACACAAAGCCACGUCCUGUUCCAGAAAAGUCAGAGCACAGCAGUCGUAAGUACCCAAGCCCUGAGGGCUCUGCUCUAGUGAUCCCUAAAUUGAGGCAGGGGGAGAGAAAAUCACCGCCAUUCCGCUGAAUAAAUAUGACUUUUGGUUUUCCAUA